rnacentral:rRNA from 1 species
CCUACGGGAGGCAGCAGUAGGGAAUCUUCCGCAAUGGACGAAAGUCUGACGAAGCAACGCCGCGUGAGUGAUGAAGGCUUUCGGGUCGUAAAACUCUGUUGUUAGGGAAGAACAAGUGCUAGUUGAAUAAGCUGGCACGUUGACGGUACCUAACCAGAAAGCCACGGCUAACUACGUGCCAGCAGCCGCGGUAAUACGUAGGUGGCAAGCGUUAUCCGGAAUUAUUGGGCGUAAAGCGCGCGCAGGUGGUUUCUUAAGUCUGAUGUGAAGGCCCACGGCUCAACCGUGGAGGGUCAUUGGAAACUGGGAGACUUGAGUGCAGAAGAGGAAAGUGGAAUUCCAUGUGUAGCGGUGAAAUGCGUAGAGAUAUGGAGGAACACCAGUGGCGAAGGCGACUUUCUGGUCUGUGACUGACACUGAGGCGCGAAAGCGUGGGGAGCAAACAGGAUUAGAUACCCGGGUAGUC